rnacentral:rRNA from 1 species
GGGUUGUGAGGUUAAGCGACUAAGCGUACACGGUGGAUGCCCUGGCAGUCAGAGGCGAUGAAGGGCGUGCUAAUCUGCGAUAAGCGCCGGUAAGGUGAUAUGAACCGUUAUAACCGGCGAUACCCGAAUGGGGGAACCCAGUGUGAUUCGUCACACUAUCAUUAACUGAAUCCAUAGGUUAAUGAGGCGAACCGGGGGAACUGAAACAUCUAAGUACCCCGAGGAAAAGAAAUCAACCGAGAUUCCCCCAGUAGCGGCGAGCGAACGGGGAGGAGCCCAGAGCCUGAAUCAGCAUGUGUGUUAGUGGAAGCGUCUGGAAAGGCGCGCGAUACAGGGUGACAGCCCCGUACACAAAAGCGCAUGUGCUGUGAGCUCGAUGAGUAGGGCGGGACACGUGGUAUCCUGUCUGAAUAUGGGGGGACCAUCCUCCAAGGCUAAAUACUCCUGACUGACCGAUAGUGAACCAGUACCGUGAGGGAAAGGCGAAAAGAACCCCGGCGAGGGGAGUGAAAAAGAACCUGAAACCGUGUACGUACAAGCAGUGGGAGCCCCACCACUAAGCCAGUGGUGAACUCCACAUCCGCAUCCUUUGCUGAGGAUACGGUUAACGGAGCGAAAGCGACGUUCAACCGCAAAACAAGCAGAGGGGGCUUAG